rnacentral:misc_RNA from 1 species
CUCGUCCUAUGUUGCCAGCGAGUUCGGGGACUCAUAGGAGACUGCCGGGGUCAACUCGGAGGAAGGUGGGGAUGACGUCAAGUCAUCAUGCCCCUUACGUCCUGGGCUGCACACAUGCUACAAUGGCCGGUACAAAGGGCUGCGAUGCCGCGAGGUGGAGCGAAUCCCAAAAAGCCGGUCUCAGUUCGGAUCGGGGUCUGCAACUCGACCCCGUGAAGUCGGAGUCGCUAGUAAUCGCAGAUCAGCAAUGCUGCGGUGAAUACGUUCCCGGGCCUUGUACACACCGCCCGUCACGUCACGAAAGUCGGUAACACCCGAAGCCGGUGGCCUAACCCUGGGAGCCGUCGAAGGUGGGACCGGCGAUUGGGACGAAGUCGUAACAAGGUAGCCGUACCGGAAGGUGCGGCUGGAUCACCUCCUUUCUAAGGAGCGUGUCUGUCCUGUUAUGGGCUGGUUCAGGGCCAGGGCCGGAUGUGCAUGCCGGUCUGGUUGCUCAUGGGUGGAACGCUGACGGCUGCUGGUUGGCCUGCUGUGUCUAGUACGGGUGGAACGGGCUGGUGGGGGUGGUGGUUCGUGGCACGUUGGGUCCUGAGGGAGUGAGGCCCCUUCUGCAUGAUCCGGGGGUUGUGGUGGUGGGGGUCUGCUGGUGCGGACAGGGGGACUGCGUGGGGGUGGGGUGUCGGGGGGCCGUCCGUACGUUGAGAACUGCACAGUGGACGCGAUCUUUGUGGCCAAGUUAUUAAGGGCG